CCUACGGGAGUCAGCAGUGAGGAAUAUUGGUCAAUGGCCGGAAGGCUGAACCAGCCAUGCCGCGUGAAGGUCAGUGCCCUAUGGGCGUUAAACUUCUUUUGUGCGGGAGCAAUAAUGGUCACGUGUGGCCAGACGCGAGUACCGUACGAAUAAGCAUCGGCUAACUCCGUGCCAGCAGCCGCGGUAAUACGGGGGAUGCAAGCGUUAUCCGGAUUUAUUGGGUUUAAAGGGUGCGUAGGCUGUGAUGUAAGUCAGUUGUGAAAGUUUGCGGCUCAACCGUAAAAUUGCAAUUGAUACUGGCAGUCUUGAGUACAGUUGAGGUAGGCGGAAUUCGUGGUGUAGCGGUGAAAUGCUUAGAUAUCACGAAGAACCCCGAUUGCGAAGGCAGCUUACUAAACUGUGACUGACAUUGAUGCUCGAAAGUGUGGGUAUCAAACAGGAUUAGAUACCCGUGUAGUC
rnacentral:rRNA from 1 species